CAGCGAGAAAGCGUUGCCGCAGGCAACGACCCGAAGGGCGAAGCGCGCAGCGCUGAGUAAUCCUUCCCCCACCACCA
rnacentral:sRNA from 2 species